rnacentral:rRNA from 1 species
AAAGUACGCUGCCGGCACGCCUAACACAUGCAAGUCGAACGAAGUAGCAAUACUCUAGUGGCAGACGGGUGAGUAACAUGUGGGUAUCUGCCCUUUGGCCUGGAAUAACACGAGGAAACUUGUGCUAAUACCGGAUAAGUCUUUACGGAGAAAGCUUUAUGCACCAUUGGAUGAGCCCGCACUUGAUUAGUUUGUUGGUGGGGUAAUGGCCUACCAAGACUGUGAUCAAUAGCUGAUUUGAGAGGAUGAUCAGCCACAUUGGGACUGAGACACGGCCCAAACCCCUACGGGAGGCAGCAGUGGGGAAUCUUGCACAAUGGAGGAAACUCUGAUGCAGCGAUGCCGCGUGAGUGAAGAAGGCCCUUGGGUUGUAAAGCUCUUUCGUCGGGGAAGAAAAUGACUGUACCCGAAUAAGAAGGUCCGGCUAACUUCGUGCCAGCAGCCGCGGUAAUACGAAGGGACCUAGCGUAGUUCGGAAUUACUGGGCUUAAAGAGUUCGUAGGUGGUUGAAAAAGUUAGUGGUGAAAUCCCAGAGCUUAACUCUGGAACUGCCAUUAAAACUCUUCAGCUAGAGUAUGAUAGAGGAAAGCAGAAUUUCUAGUGUAGAGGUGAAAUUCGUAGAUAUUAGAAAGAAUACCAAUUGCGAAGGCAGCUUUCUGGAUCAUUACCGACACUGAGGAACGAAAGCAUGGGUAGCGAAGAGGAUUAGAUACCCUCGUAGUCCAUGCCGUAAACGAUGUGUGUUAGACGUUGGAAAUUUAUUUUCAGUGUCGCAGCGAAAGCGAUAAACACACCGCCUGGGGAGUACGACCGCAAGGUUA